UACGGAGGGAGCAAGCGUUAUUCGGAAUUACUGGGUGUAAAGCGCGCGUAGGUGGUCGUGUAAGUCAGGCGUGAAAUCCUCUGGCUUAACCAGAGAAUUGCUCUUGAUACUAUGCGACUUGAGUAUGGGAGAGGAAGGUGGAAUUCCUAGUGUAGCGGUGAAAUGCGUAGAUAUUGGGGAGAACACCGGUGGCGAAGGCGGCCUUCUGGCCCAAUACUGACACUGAGGUGCGAAAGCUAGGGGAGCGAACGGGAUUAGAUACCCGCGUA
rnacentral:rRNA from 1 species